GGUUUCUCAAGAAAAGAAUCUUAGUCCAACCUAAAGUAACACUAAUUUGCAUAAUUAAUCCUCCCACUUUAGAGCAAUUCAAAUGAGGUACAGCCCAUUUGACUCAGGGUACAACCUUUACUAACGGGUAAUACAUAAUUUGCACCUACAAGUAGGCCUAAGAGCAGCCACCUUUUAAAAAGCGUCAUAGCUUAACUCUGCACAUUUUAAUCUCUCAACCCCUAUCGAACCCUUUAAUUAUAUUGAGAACUUCUAUAACAAUAUAGAACCUUUUAUGCUAAAACUAGUAACAAGAGGUAACACCUCUCCUUAAUGCAAGCAUAACCCAGCGAGAACCCAUCACUGGCAAUUAACAGCCCGCAAGUAGUAACCUUACUAGAAAAUUCUACUUUUUCCCCCUGUUAACCUAACACUAGAGCAUUUCAAGAAAGAUUAAAAGAAAAAGAAGGAACUCGGCAAACACCUAGCCUCGCCUGUUUACCAAAAACAUCGCCUCUUGCCCCCCCCCUAAGAGGUCCAGCCUGCCCAGUGACUUUGUUUAACGGCCGCGGUAUCCUAACCGUGCGAAGGUAGCGUAAUCACUUGUUUUCUAAAUAAAGACCAGUAUGAAAGGCAUCACGAAGGCUAAACUGUCUCCUUUCUCCAAUCAGUUAACCUAACCUCCCCGUGAAGAGACGGGGAUUCUUCAAUAAGACGAGAAGACCCUAUGGAGCUUAAAACAUUAGAACACCUGCCACAAUCCCGAGCAUCCCGAUUCUCUUUCACCUACCCGCACGCUGAUUAUAAGUUUUUGGUUGGGGUGACCGUGGAGAAAAUCUCAUCCUCCACAAUGAGGGGAAAUAUUUUCCCCCAAUCUGCAAGCUACAGCUUUAAGCAUCAAAAAAUUGACAUCCAUUGACCCAUCAAGUGAUCAACGAACCAAGUUACCCUAGGGAUAACAGCGCAAUCCACUUCAAGAGCUCUUAUCGACAAGUGGGCUUACGACCUCGAUGUUGGAUCGGG
rnacentral:rRNA from 1 species